rnacentral:rRNA from 1 species
UGGGGAAUAUUGCACAAUGGGGGAAACCCUGAUGCAGCGACGCCGCGUGAGCGAAGAAGGCUUUCGAGUCGUAAAGCUCUGUCCUAUGAGAAGAUAAUGACGGUAUCAUAGGAGGAAGCCCUGGCUAAAUACGUGCCAGCAGCCGCGGUAAUACGUAUGGGGCGAGCGUUGUCCGGAAUUAUUGGGCGUAAAGGGUACGUAGGUGGUUGUUUAAGUCAGGUGUCAAAGCGUGGAGCUUAACUCCAUUAAGCACUUGAAACUGAAAGACUUGAGUGAAGGAGAGGAAAGUGGAAUUCCUAGUGUAGCGGUGAAAUGCGUAGAUAUUAGGAGGAAUACCGGUAGCGAAGGCGACUUUCUGGACUUUUACUGACGCUCAGGUACGAAAGCGUGGGGAGCAAACAGG